rnacentral:rRNA from 1 species
UACGAAGGGUGCAAGCGUUACUCGGAAUUACUGGGCGUAAAGCGUGCGUAGACGGUUAUCUAAGUCGGAUGUGAAAGCCCCGGGCUCAACCUGGGAAUUGCAUUCGAGACUGAAUAGCUAGGGUACGGUAGAGGGAAGUGGAAUUUCCGGUGUAGCGGUGAAAUGCGUAGAUAUCGGAAGGAACAUCAGUGGCGAAAGCGACUUCCUGGACCAGUACCGACGUUCAGGCACGAAAGCGUGGGGAGCAAACAGG